rnacentral:rRNA from 1 species
AGUGGGGAAUUUUGCGCAAUGGGGGAAACCCUGACGCAGCAACGCCGCGUGGAGGAUGAAGCCCCUUGGGGUGUAAACUCCUUUCGAUCGGGACGAUUAUGACGGUACCGGAUGAAGAAGCACCGGCUAACUCUGUGCCAGCAGCCGCGGUAAUACAGAGGGUGCAAGCGUUGUUCGAAAUUAUUGGGCGUAAAGGGUGCGUAGUCGGUGCGGUAAGUCUGUUGUGAAAUCUCCGGGCUCAACUCGGAGCCUGCAACGGAAACUGCCGUGCUUGAGUGUGGGAGAGGUGAGUGGAAUUCCCG